AUUGGAGAGUUUGAUCCUGGCUCAGGACGAACGCUGGCGGCAUGCCUAAUACAUGCAAGUCGAGCGGAGUUGAUAGGAAGCUUGCUUCCUUGAUGCUUAGCGGCGGACGGGUGAGUAACACGUAGGCAACCUGCCCUCAAGCUUGGGACAACUACCGGAAACGGUAGCUAAUACCGAAUACUUGUUUUCUUCGCCUGAAGAGAACUGGAAAGACGGAGCAAUCUGUCACUUGAGGAUGGGCCUGCGGCGCAUUAGCUAGUUGGUGAGGUAACGGCUCACCAAGGCGACGAUGCGUAGCCGACCUGAGAGGGUGAUCGGCCACACUGGGACUGAGACACGGCCCAGACUCCUACGGGAGGCAGCAGUAGGGAAUCUUCCGCAAUGGGCGAAAGCCUGACGGAGCAAUGCCGCGUGAGUGAUGAAGGUUUUCGGAUCGUAAAGCUCUGUUGCCAGGGAAGAA
rnacentral:rRNA from 1 species